GAUGAACGCUGGCGGCGUGCCUAAUACAUGCAAGUCGAGCGAACGGACGAGAAGCUUGCUUUUCUGAUGUUAGCGGCGGACGGGUGAGUAACACGUGGAUAACCUACCUAUAAGACUGGGAUAACUUCGGGAAACCGGAGCUAAUACCGGAUAAUAUUUUGAACCGCAUGGUUCAAAAGUGAAAGACGGUCUUGCUGUCACUUAUAGAUGGAUCCGCGCUGCAUUAGCUAGUUGGUAAGGUAACGGCUUACCAAGGCAACGAUGCAUAGCCGACCUGAGAGGGUGAUCGGCCACACUGGAACUGAGACACGGUCCAGACUCCUACGGGAGGCAGCAGUAGGGAAUCUUCCGCAAUGGGCGAAAGCCUGACGGAGCAACGCCGCGUGAGUGAUGAAGGUCUUCGGAUCGUAAAACGCUGUUAUUAGGGAAGAACAUAUGUGUAAGUAACUGUGCACAUCUGGACGGUACCUAAGCAGAAAACCACGGCUAACUACGG
rnacentral:rRNA from 1 species